rnacentral:rRNA from 1 species
GCACGAAGCUGGAAUCGCUAGUAAUCGCGGAUCAGCAUGCCGCGGUGAAUACGUUCCCGGGUCUUGUACACACCGCCCGUCACACCAUGGGAGCCGGAAAUGCCCGAAGCCUGUGACCCAACCCUUAAGGGAGGGAGCAGCCUAAGGGCGGGGCCGGUAACUGGGGUGAAGUCGUAACAAGGUAUC